AUCAGAGAUCUGUACAGCACCACUUCACACUUCCUUCCUGAUCUCCUCUCUCGCUCUCACGCUCACUCGCUCUCUCUCCCUAACGCUCUUUCCCCCUUGCUCUCUUUCUCUCUCUCUCUCAUUACCUCUCUCCCUCCCUUCCUCUAUUUUUUUCUCUCUCUCACUCUCUCGCUCCCUCUCCCCUGCCUUUCCCUCUCUCCCUCCCUCCCUCUCUCCCUCUCUCUCUUCUCUAAUCUGUGGAAUAUUGGAUGAGGACAGAGGACUUUACCCGUGAUUUUUUUCCUUGUCCUUCAGCGCUACUGGCUGGUGUUGGGCUGCAUCCAUGACUAUACACACCUGGCUGAUGUACGGGCUUGGAAUGACUCUGGUUUGGGCUUUUCUUGUAACGCAAGGGGCUUUACUCCACCAGAACACAACACAAAAACCAAAAGGUCAGAAAGUGCAGGGUCUGCAGUGCUAUGGCUGCAACAUCAUCCAGGGCCAGAGGUACGUGGAUGUUGGCUGCUCCAACCCCGAGGUCCUCACCUGCUCACACUCGCACAAGGGCUUCAAGCACCGCUUCUGCAUCCGGACCGAGAGCACGGCAUUGGGUAUUGUCCUGACCAGCGGCUGUGCUACAUCCAGACACUGCCAACAACAAGAGCUGCCUGGCGUUCGUAUUCACUGCUGCGGCUCCGAUCUGUGUAACAGCACCACUUGGUUGAAAUCAAAUGGACUGCACUAUAUCUGCGCUCUGACCUGCCUGCUACUGCUGCGGCUCGGGUUGUGAUGUAAAGACAUAUUGGAGAGAAAGGAAAUACCGUCUCGGUUCACAAGGGGAUUUCUGGCAGACAUGUUCCCCUCAACUGUCAUAUUCUGGUCACUGACUAGUGGGUGACGAGCGUUGCGGGGUUCUCCUGACAAAUCAUGGGAAAUAUUAGGGUUCCGCUUUACUCAGCUUGCAGUGUUAUUACAAUAGCAUACUGAUUGAACAGCACCCAGAUAACGUUCAUGGUUGGAUUGUUGUUGGAGGUUAAAUCAACAUUUGCCUAUGGAGCCACCCCAGAUCUUCAAAACUCUUCAGAGGCUUAGAAUCAGUGAAGACCAAAUAUAGUGUGAGUAACCUACUCCUUUUGAAUAUUCAGUCACACUGUCUAAAGUGUUGUUCAGAUAUCUAUCUUAUUCAGGCAUAGUCCGCUUUUAAUGCAUGUUAUGCGUGUUUAUUUUUAAGGUUGUACAAAGUAUUUUACAGUAUGUACUGUGGUAAACAGCUGUAUUAAAAUAUUCCUUUUUAACAAGUUAACUGAAAA
ensembl:lncRNA